AUUGAACGCUGGCGGCAGGCCUAACACAUGCAAGUCGAACGGUAACAGGAAGCAGCUUGCUGCUUCGCUGACGAGUGGCGGACGGGUGAGUAAUGUCUGGGAAACUGCCUGAUGGAGGGGGAUAACUACUGGAAACGGUAGCUAAUACCGCAUAACGUCGCAAGACCAAAGAGGGGGACCUUCGGGCCUCUUGCCAUCGGAUGUGCCCAGAUGGGAUUAGCUAGUAGGUGGGGUAACGGCUCACCUAGGCGACGAUCCCUAGCUGGUCUGAGAGGAUGACCAGCCACACUGGAACUGAGACACGGUCCAGACUCCUACGGGAGGCAGCAGUGGGGAAUAUUGCACAAUGGGCGCAAGCCUGAUGCAGCCAUGCCGCGUGUAUGAAGAAGGCCUUCGGGUUGUAAAGUACUUUCAGCGGGGAGGAAGGCGAUAAGGUUAAUAACCUUGUCGAUUGACGUUACCCGCAGAAGAAGCACCGGCUAACUCCGUGCCA
rnacentral:rRNA from 1 species